AGAACAGCUCAGCGUCAAGGAAGCAACGAAGGAAAUCUGCCAUUUGUAGCCUACCGUCCGCUCUCUGUGCGGAGUGAACCGAACAACCCCAGGCGUGAACCAGAAAAUGUGAAGCACGGAAAACUUAUUUCACUCGUUCUGGAGAAGACGUACGGAAAGAGAAACGUCUGUGCUGUCUGCUGUAUUCAUCACCAGGACUUUUUGUUUUUAUUUGGGAAGAAAGAAUCUGGCAGAAAAACGAUGGUUGACCCCCCAGGAAGUUUCUGUAUAACUUAUGGACAGCAACAAAUGUUUUUUCAGUUCAUAAAUUGCCUUCAUUCUGAUUUUAGCUGGUACCAGGUAUAUUCAUCUACCAGAUACAAUUUGAUGAAAAAGAAAAAAAAAAAAUUUUCAUGAGGUAAAUAAGUCUAAAUACGCCCCCCCCCAAGCCAACAUUAGAUGGAACUCAGCCUUCAGUAGCAAAAAGAGUGAGACGAGAUUUAGCAUGAAAUGAAGGUUCUGUCACAGCGAUUUAUGACUUUACGAUAUCUAAAAUAGUUUUUAUGGUCAUGCUCACUAAACACAGUCUCAGAUGGGUGAGGUUGCUUCUGUGAUGAAAUAUUGUGAAGCCCUGUCCCAACUCCCAUUCUCUCCAAAGGAAAAGCACUGCUGGAGCAUUACAGUUCAGGAAGUCAUUCCAAACCGUGCCAGGAGUGUGUCCAAUGGGGUGGCACUGGCCACCUCUGAAAUUUGACUGACCACCCCAGAUGCCACCCCUAUUUUUCCAACUAAAAUAUCGCAUUAUCAUUGGCUAAUUUUGGUGAUAGUGCGACCCCCCCCCUUUACAGAGUGUGACCCCCAUGAAGAAAAUCCUGGUAACCCCAUGAACCCUGCAAAUGACUAAGUAGCUAAAAUAAAUAAAUGUGCCCAAAGCAUUUAUUCAUAAAGCUGCUUAUAAGCCUAUUCUGUACAUUUCAGCGUCGUUACUACAUUUUGACUUUGAUGGCUGAAUUGGCAUCAGUUUUUGCAUAGUACAUGUUAUGACAUAUUGUGACAUGUUAUAACAUGUUGUGUAUGAUGAACACCCUCUUUAUAAAUGCUUUAUGUAGUAGUUA